UACGUAGGGUCCAAGCGUUAUCCGGAAUCACUGGGCGUAAAGCGUUUGUAGGCGGAAAUUUAAGUGAGAUGCGAAAUCUUGUGGCUCAACCAUAUAGACGGUAUCUCAUACUGGGUUUCUAGAAGAUAGCAGAGGUAAGUGGAAUUAGUAGUGUAGCGGUAAAAUGCGUAGAUAUUACUAGGAACACCAAUGGCGAAGGCAGCUUACUGGGCUAUAUUUGACGUUGAGAAACGAAAGCGUGGGGAGCGAACAGG
rnacentral:rRNA from 1 species